CAGGAAUCUGAAUAACACGUAUGAUAAAGCAGAAGUGAAUCAGCAGAUCGUCCCAUCAGAGUGUUCAGGAUCACCAGCACACGGUGAUGCGUCUGCUGUGAAGCCGAGGCUGAUGAACGGCAGACACCCAUUGGUCAGGAGCACGGUGGCUCCGCCCAUCACUCACCUUGACAGAGAUGAAGCCCCGCCCCUGAUGAGGAGACUGAAGUCCAGAUUCUGCACAGUCAUGUGACAUAAAGAAUAAUUUCUCCAUAGAGAUUAGCUUUUCUAGUUUCUCAGGAGUUGUGUUUGCCAUGAAGACACUUCCAGACUGCAAAGAUUAAAGAUGAAGUCAAAACUGAAGCAGGAGCUGAACUCUCCAGAGGAGCUGCACCUGCUUUAGUAUAUAACAGAUGUUCUGUUAAAAUGAGACAUUUGAAAGGGUGGAUGAGACGCCCUGAACUCUUGUGAUGCCAACCGUGUGAUCAUAAAUCAUGUGUUAUUUCAUGCAGUAUUGCUGGAUUUCAGCAGGACACAUUAUUGUCUCUUUUCAGUUUUAUUACACUUUCACCAAUUUCAACAUCCUGAGUGAAUCCACGUGUCUUUUCCAACACUAAAGCAC